rnacentral:rRNA from 1 species
AACCGGGAAGAGCUCAAAUUUGAAAUCUGGCGUCCUCAGGGCGUCCGAGUUGUAAUCUAUAGAGGCGUUUUCCGUGCCGGACCGUGUCCAAGUUCCUUGGAACAGGAUAUCAAAGAGGGUGACAAUCCCGUACUUGACACGACGACCGGUGCUCUGUGAUACGUCUUCUACGAGUCGAGUUGUUUGGGAAUGCAGCUCAAAAUGGGUGGUGAGUUCCAUCUAAAGCUAAAUAUUGGCGAGAGACCGAUAGCGAACAAGUACCGUGAGGGAAAGAUGAAAAGCACUUUGGAAAGAGAGUUAAACAGUACGUGAAAUUGUUGAAAGGGAAACGAUUGAAGUCAGUCGUGACCGAGAGGCUCAGCCGGUUCUGCCGGUGUAUUCCCCUCGGUCGGGUCAACAUCAGUUUUGUCCGGUGGAUAAGGGCGGUAAGGAAGGUGGCACCCUCGGGUGUGUUAUAGCCUGCCGUCGCAUACAUCGGGUGAGACUGAGGAACGCAGCUCGCCUUUAUGGCCGGGGUUCGCCCACGUCCGAGCUUAGGAUGUUGACAUAAUGGCUUUAAACGACCCGUCU